rnacentral:rRNA from 1 species
GGAACCGGGAGAGGUAAGAGGUACUACAGGGGUAGGAGUGAAAUCUUGUAAUCCCUGUGGGACCACCUGUGGCGAAGGCGUCUUACCAGAACGGGUUCGACGGUGAGGACGAAAGCUGGGGGCACGAACCGGAUUAGAUACCCGGGUAGUCCCAGCCGUAAACGAUGCUCGCUAGGUGUCAGGCAUGGCGCGACCGUGUCUGGUGCCGCAGGGAAGCCGUGAAGCGAGCCACCUGGGAAGUACGGCCGCAAGGCUGAAACUUAAAGGAAUUGGGCGGGGGAGCACAACGAACGGGUGGAGCCUGCGGUUUAAUUGGACUCAACGCCGGACAACUCGACCGGGGGCGACAGCAAUAUGUAGGCCAAGCUGAAGUACUUUGCCUGAAUCGCUGAGUAGUGGUGCAUGG